AGUGAACGCUGGCGGUAGGCCUAACACAUGCAAGUCGAACGGCAGCACAGUAAGAGCUUGCUCUUACGGGUGGCGAGUGGCGGACGGGUGAGGAAUACAUCGGAAUCUACUUUUUCGUGGGGGAUAACGUAGGGAAACUUACGCUAAUACCGCAUACGACCUACGGGUGAAAGCAGGGGAUCUUCGGACCUUGCGCGAUUGAAUGAGCCGAUGUCGGAUUAGCUAGUUGGCGGGGUAAAGGCCCACCAAGGCGACGAUCCGUAGCUGGUCUGAGAGGAUGAUCAGCCAACCUGUAACUGAGACACGGUCCAGACGCCUAGGGGAGGCAGCGGUGGGGAAUAUUGGACAAUGGGCGAAAGCCUGAUCCAGCCAUACCGCGUGGGUGAAGAAGGCCUUCGGGUUGUAAAGCCCUUUUGUUGGGAAAGAAAAGCAGCAGGUUAAUACCCCGCUGUUCUGACGGUACCCAAAGAAUAAGCACCGGCUAACUUCGUG
rnacentral:rRNA from 1 species